rnacentral:misc_RNA from 1 species
GUGGGACUAUCAUGUCAUCUGUGUACAGAAGAAGAGAAAUGAGAACUCUUCGUCACUAGUGUGGGAUUUAGAUUCAAGUCUUCUGUUUCCAUCAUCUCUUGGCACUUAUGUCGCUGACAGCAUUCGUCCAUCAAUUCAGAUAUUUUCAGAAUUCAAAAGGUUUUUUCGAGUUGUGCAUGCCCCUAUAUUCCUCCGACACUUCGCAUCAGAUAGAAGACAUAUGAAGGAUUCUGCUGGAAACUGGACUGCAGACCCGCCAUCAUAUGAAGCUAUUGUUGCUGAAGAUGGAGCUGUACACAACCUGAACGAGUACAUUACAGUCUCUCCCGAUGAUGUAGUGAAGAAUGUGGAAGCUGAUACCGUCAAUGUUGUUCUCUCCGAGAAACUUGGUGUAGU